rnacentral:lncRNA from 1 species
AUAUAUAUAUAGAGAGAGAGAGAGAGAGAGAGAGAGAGAGAGAGAGAGAGAGAGAUGGGUGUGAUUUGUGAGGAGAGAGGGAGAAGAGUGUGAAACCUGUGCAGAAUAUGUAUAUUGAGAGAGAGAAAGGGAGAGAGUUUUUGAGAGAGAAUGAGAGAGUGGAGCGACGGAGAGGACGGAGACGAGAGAGACGACAAACGGGCCGGCAAAACUAAACUGUUCUGGUAGGCCCCAUGAUUUAUAAUAUAUUCACUCUAAUUUCCGCUCAUUAUUCUACAAUAGUAUACACGCCUACACAUGUAUACUCGUGUAUGCAUAUACGUAGGCUCCACAUUCAUGUAUUUAGGGCCCUUUUGACUUGAGGUACCAGAGACACACGACUAUUCUACAUGGUAUGAUUGUCCAAUAAGAAGUCACCGUCUCAUUGAACGGCCCAAUCUCAUCCAAUGAGAUGAGAUCAUCUUGAAAUUUGAGGGCUCCUCAUGGAUGACCACACCUAGUAGUACGGUUUUGCUACCUAACCGUAUUUGUCCCUUUUAACACGAAUUUUGAAAAUUCAAAAGGAGUUUUUUGGUCUUAAAAUUGCUUUGGACCAUUUUGACUAUAAGUUUAUUUAAGUGUUUCUAGUUAUAAGAGUUUUUUAAAUAAGUUGAUCUAAUGUAACUUAUUUUAAAAGUACUUCAAAAAUAAGAAGCACUU